rnacentral:misc_RNA from 1 species
CCGUGGCACGUGGGAGACGAGACAAACAUCAAUUUGGACGCGCUCCCACAACCCAAACCCCCCAUCCUUGCCUAACACGCACCGUUUGUUUCCUCGGCGGGCCCGCCCGCCGCAGGACCCCCCUUUGAAACGCUUUUGCAAAACCACGCAGUCGUUCGUCUGAGCGGAGUUUUUAUUCGCAAUCAAAUCA